UCCCUGGUGGCUUAGAGGGUAAAGCAUCUGCCUGCAAUGCAAGAGAACCAGGUUCGAUUCCUGGGUUGGGAA
rnacentral:tRNA from 1 species